rnacentral:rRNA from 1 species
UUGGGUGGCGCACGGGUGAGUAACGCGUAAAGAACUUGCCUCUUAGACCGGGACAACAUCUGGAAACGGAUGCUAAUACCGGAUAUUAUGGUUUUUUCGCAUGGAGGAAUCAUGAAAGCUAGAUGCGCUAAGAGAGAGCUUUGCGUCCCAUUAGCUGGUUGGUGAGGUAACGGCCCACCAAGGCAAUGAUGGGUAGCCGGCCUGAGAGGGUGAACGGCCACAAGGGGACUGAGACACGGCCCUUACUCCUACGGGAGGCAGCAGUGGGGAAUAUUGGACAAUGGACCGCAAGUCUGAUCCAGCAAUUCUGUGUGCACGAUGACGUUUUUCGGAAUGUAAAGUGCUUUCAGUCGGGAAGAAGUCAGUGACGGUACCGACAGAAGAAGCGACGGCUAAAUACGUGCCAGCAGCCGCGGUAAUACGUAUGUCGCAAGCGUUAUCCGGAUUUAUUGGGCGUAAAGCGCGUCUAGGCGGCAAGGAAAGUCUGAUGUGAAAAUGCGGAGCUCAACUCCGUAUGGCGUUGGAAACUGCCUUACUAGAGUACUGGAGAGGUAGGCGGAACUACAAGUGUAGAGGUGAAAUUCGUAGAUAUUUGUAGGAAUGCCGAUGGGGAAGCCAGCCUACUGGACAGAUACUGACGCUAAAGCGCGAAAGCGUGGGUAGCAAACAGG